AGUGCACUAGAUGGAUGGAUGAAGGCACUCUCCCAGGCUUCCAACUCUUGGUGAUUUUCUGCAAAUAUGGAAAUGAACUGGAGGUGGCCAAAGGUAAUAACAGGGAGGCCCCUCAGAGGGUAUUGCAGCCGAAGUGAGAGAUGGUGGCCAGAAUUGGAAUGGUGGAGAAAGGAGGAGCACCACUCCUCACCAUCAGAACCUUCAUAUGAUGCAACAAGAACAUACUUCUUCUCUGCUUAGUCUUCAGUGCAGGGCAGCCUGACACAGGCUAUUCUUCUGGCCACCUACGCCAUCACUGCCCUUUUGGGGGACAUGAGCAUCAUGUCCCUCAAAUACUUCCCUUUUCUCCCUCUUCCCAAACCAUGACAGGCCUUUC